GGUCUGAGAGGAUGAUCAGUCAGACUGGAACUGAGACACGGUCCAGACUCCUACGGGAGGCAGCAGUGAGGAAUCUUCCACAAUGGACGAAAGUCUGAUGGAGCAACUCCGCGUGCAGGAUGAAGGCCUUCGGGUUGUAAACUGCUUUUAUGAGUGAAGAAUAUGACGGUAACUCAUGAAUAAGGGUCGGCUAACUACGUGCCAGCAGCCGCGGUAAUA
rnacentral:rRNA from 1 species